GGUCUUACAGGGAGGUGUGUUCAGGUACAUUCUUGGCGUGCUGGCCUUACAGGGAGGUGUGUUCAGGUGCAUUCUGGGAGUAUUGCUAUCUUGAGGCAGCGGGAAGUGAUC